GAUGAACGCUGGCGGCGUGCCUAAUACAUGCAAGUCGAGCGAACAGACGAGGAGCUUGCUCCUCUGACGUUAGCGGCGGACGGGUGAGUAACACGUGGAUAACCUACCUAUAAGACUGGGAUAACUUCGGGAAACCGGAGCUAAUACCGGAUAAUAUAUUGAACCGCAUGGUUCAAUAGUGAAAGACGGUUUUGCUGUCACUUAUAGAUGGAUCCGCGCCGCAUUAGCUAGUUGGUAAGGUAACGGCUUACCAAGGCAACGAUGCGUAGCCGACCUGAGAGGGUGAUCGGCCACACUGGAACUGAGACACGGUCCAGACUCCUAAGGGAGGGAGCAGUAGGGAAUCUUCCGCAAUGGGCGAAAGCCUGACCGAGCAACGCCGCGUGAGGGAUGAAGGUCUUCGGAUCGUAAAACUCUGUUAUUAGGGAAGAACAAAUGUGUAAGUAACUAUGCACGUCUUGACGGUACCUAAUCAGAAAGCCACGGCUAACUACGUG
rnacentral:rRNA from 1 species